UCGAGGAUCUUCGUCAAUGGGGGCAACCCUGAACGAGCGAUGCCGCGUGCGCGAUGAAGGCCUUCGGGUUGUAAAGCGCGAAAGUGGGGAGAAAAGCCGAAAGGUUUGAUCUAUCCACAGUAAGCUCGGGCUAAGUUCGUGCCAGCAGCCGCGGUAAGACGAACCGAGCGAACGUUGUUCGGAAUCACUGGGCUUAAAGGGCGCGUAGGCGGGCUGUCAAGUCUGGGGUGAAAUCCCGCGGCUCAACCGUGGAACUGCCUCAGAUACUGACGGCCUCGAGGGAGGUAGGGGCGAGCGGAACUAAUGGUGGAGCGGUGAAAUGCGUUGAUAUCAUUAGGAACUCCGGUGGCGAAGGCGGCUCGCUGGACCUCUUCUGACGCUGAGGCGCGAAAGCCAGGGGAGCAAACGGGAUUAGAUACCCCCGUAGUCC
rnacentral:rRNA from 1 species